rnacentral:rRNA from 1 species
GAUGAACGCUGGCGGCGUGCCUAAUACAUGCAAGUCGAGCGAACAGACGAUGAGCUUGCUCCUCUGACGUUAGCGGCGGACGGGUGAGUAACACGUGGAUAACCUACCUAUAAGACUGGGAUAACUUCGGGAAACCGGAGCUAAUACCGGAUAAUAUAUUGAACCGCAUGGUUCAAUAGUGAAAGACGGUUUUGCUGUCACUUAUAGAUGGAUCCGCGCCGCAUUAGCUAGUUGGUAAGGUAACGGCUUACCAAGGCGACGAUGCGUAGCCGACCUGAGAGGGUGAUCGGCCACACUGGAACUGAGACACGGUCCAGACUCCUACGGGAGGCAGCAGUAGGGAAUAUUGCGCAAUGGGCGAAAGCCUGACGGAGCAACGCCGCGUGAGUGAUGAAGGUCUUCGGAUCGUAAAACUCUGUUAUUAGGGAAGAACAAAUGUGUAAGUAACUAUGCACGUCUUGACGGUACCUAAUCAGAAAGCCACGGCUAACUACGUG